GAUGCAGCAAAAUGCUAAUAUUUGUAAGGUCAAGGCCAGGGCAGCGAUGAGGCAGAGGGAGGAACUUAAAACUGCAGCCACCUGCAUCCUGAGAGCUGGCUCUAACCGGUUUGCACCGUGCCUGAUAAGCAGCCAUGAAAGAACAACAAGUUGCAAGAGAGAACAACUUCUUUGAAAAGCAACUUCACUCUACCUCCCACCAAGGCCAGGCCCCCUGUCCUAUAAAAGAUUACCUUCAUCCCCUGAGAGGGGCAACUUGUCUGACCCCUGCGGGAGUCAGUGAACUUCACCAGGGCCCAAUACAUUUUUUGCCUGUGAGAAACUUAGCCUGGCUUUCCUUUUCUUUACUGUGUCAAACCCUUUCAUCUGGGUGCUGAACCUGGGAAGGCUGUGUCUCCUGGCACCGGGGCCGCCUUCCUGUCCCUGGGACCUCUCAUCUCCAUUGCAGACGCCUCACAUCCACCACCGGCCUGGAUACUUGGGAUGAGGACUGAAGAGGCCCAGACUCAUCAACACCAAUAAUCUUCGAGGAGCCCAGGGUAAUGGUCAAGGUAGCAGACAGCUCCUCCGGGAACACACUGACCGAUAUCUGCCACAACCUGUGCCCACAUCGGCAAACAAGCCUGCUGACCCAGGAGACCAGGUUCUUGUAAAAGUCAUUUCGCCAAAGCUGCUACAACCCGCACACGGUGAUCCUGACUCCUCCAAUGGCAGUUAAAGACUUGGGUAAUCCCUCCAGGCACCACCUGUCCAGGGUAAAGGUAGCCUCACCAGAGCAUUACUAUGUAUGUAAACCUCUGGGGCCUACUUGGCUCACCAUUUCUGCUAUACCUGCUUCUUCCAGUAACCUCACCUGACCUAUCUCCUAUAUAUGUCUGGCAAUUUAAGGUCUGGGAAACCUAAAAAAAAAAAAAAGUCAAUCUUAUGGCUCUAUUACUAAUCUAGUGGGGAAGGCUGACAGUCCUAACACAGGAUGCGUGGCUCCUGUUACUAUUUUUAUGUCCCUACAAACAGGGAUAAAAGUUAUCUUAUGUUGUGCUUCAAAUAUGACCAAACCCAGCCUCAUACUGCACAGACCCAAAAUGGGAUGAAUAUGGGGGCUGCGUGUACUGGUUAUGCAAAACUCACCAAAUAGGGCAUCAACCUCAAGGAAAGCAGACAAUUAUAUUAUGAUCAGGAAAAAGAACUCUGUACUCCUCCAAAUCUUGGAUCUAUGGGACAGUCAAUGACAAACAGGAACUGGGGUGGCUAUAUACGGGCUUGGUAAUUCCAGACCAGUGGCCACCUUAUACAUCUUGCGAGAGUAUGUUCAGUCCAGUCACUCCCCAGUAAUAGUAGCUCAGGAUAUAGUCCAUCAGGAACAGAUCUUACUAGAACAGAUAAACCAACUAAUAUAAAGCCUGAUCCAUAUCAAUGGAUCCACAUUUUAUAAGCAGCUCUAACUUUUCUAAACUAAACUAACUCCAGUUUCAAUAUCACUCACUGUUUUUUUGUGUGCAUCCCUUCAAUGCCCACUCCUAGCUGCAGUUCCCAUGGAUGCAACCGGUCUAAGCCAGGCAACACCUUGCUCCUUUCAUCCUGAAAUCCCCCUUUGGGAGCCAACAGACCGGGAGGAACGGUUACUUAUGGUUUGCUGUUGGCUCCCCAAAGAAAGCUGUCACCAUCCCCUCUAUCACAUUUGUGUACUUAUAACCACACCAUCUCAAAUCCCCUCUAUUCAUCCUCCAGUUUUCUGUUAUGGUGCAACAGCUCCCUAUCCUCAUGUAUUAACACCAUGGUGACACCUCCCUGUGUACCAGUACCAGUAACUCCCCAACCAGCGCUGUAUGGACAGUCAGAGCUCGCCUGGCAACUACAUACCCAAGGCGUACCUGCAGGGCAACCUUCCUACCCAUUCUAGUGGGCUUAGGCAUGGCUUCCUCUGUUGCAUCUCUCUCUUUUGCAGGCGGGGCACUUGGCCACUCUCUUCGUUCUGCACAGGAACUCACAAAUAAACUUCAGGAGGCCAUAGACUGGUCAUCAAUGUCUCUAGCCUCACUCCAGAGGCAACUAACCUCACUCACCGAGGUUUCCCUUCAGAAUAGAAGGGCUCUGGAUCUCCUAAUGGCCAGAAAAGGGGGUACCUGCUUAUUCCUCAAAGAAGAAUGUUGCUAUUACAUCAGUGAAUCAGGUUUUGUGGAAAAAAAUGUAAGAAAGCUCUUGCAAUUGGCAGAAGACCUUGAACAUCAGGCACAGGGAGACAGCUCUCCUUUUGCCUGGCUGAGUCACUCUCUGGCUACAUGGGUACUCCCCUGAAGGGACCACUAAUUCUAAUUUCAUUAUUUUUUCUCCUUGCCCCUUGUAUGCUCCUGUUCAUCCAACACUGCAUUCGAGAGAUGACUCGCAUCACCUUCAACCAACUAGUGCUAUACCCCUACUCAAGCCUCCCCACCGGUGAGCCCAGCUGUUGACCUUGCUUCUUGACCUCUCCUCCUCACACUGCCCCGCAUCAGCAGGAAGUAGCCAGAAAGAAUACUUCCCCCUUUAUCCUAUAACUAAGAGGUCGGAAUGUAAGUUCGAGGCCGGGGCAGCGAUGAGGCAGAGGGAGGAAUUUGAAACUGCAGCCACCUGUAUCCCGGGAGCUGGCUCUAACCGGUUUGCACCAUGCCUGAUAAGCAGCCAUGAAAGAACAACAAGCUGCAACAACAAGAGAGAAUAACUUCUUUGAAAAGCAACUUCACUCUACCUCCCACAAAGUCAUACUUGGUCCUGUAAAAGAUUACCCUCAUGCCCUGAGAGGCGCAACUUCUCUGAUUCCCGCAGGGGUCAGUGAACUUCACUGGGGCACAAUAAACUUUUUGCCUGUGAGAAACUUAUCCUGCCUUUCCUUUUC